rnacentral:rRNA from 1 species
GCUAUACAUGCAGUCGAGCGGACAGAUGGGAGCUUGCUCCCUGAUGUUAGCGGCGGACGGGUGAGUAACACGUGGGUAACCUGCCUGUAAGACUGGGAUAACUCCGGGAAACCGGGGCUAAUACCGGAUGGUUGUUUGAACCGCAUGGUUCAAACAUAAAAGGUGGCUUCGGCUACCACUUACAGAUGGACCCGCGGCGCAUUAGCUAGUUGGUGAGGUAACGGCUCACCAAGGCAACGAUGCGUAGCCGACCUGAGAGGGUGAUCGGCCACACUGGGACUGAGACACGGCCCAGACUCCUACGGGAGGCAGCAGUAGGGAAUCUUCCGCAAUGGACGAAAGUCUGACGGAGCAACGCCGCGUGAGUGAUGAAGGUUUUCGGAUCGUAAAGCUCUGUUGUUAGGGAAGAACAAGUACCGUUCGAAUAGGGCGGUACCUUGACGGUACCUAACCAGAAAGCCACGGCUAACUACGUGCCAGCAGCCGCGGUAAUACGUAGGUGGCAAGCGUUGUCCGGAAUUAUUGGGCGUAAAGGGCUCGCAGGCGGUUUCUUAAGUCUGAUGUGAAAGCCCCCGGCUCAACCGGGGAGGGUCAUUGGAAACUGGGGAACUUGAGUGCAGAAGAGGAGAGUGGAAUUCCACGUGUAGCGGUGAAAUGCGUAGAGAUGUGGAGGAACACCAGUGGCGAAGGCGACUCUCUGGUCUGUAACUGACGCUGAGGAGCGAAAGCGUGGGGAGCGAACAGGAUUAGAUACCCUGGUAGUCCACGCCGUAAACGAUGAGUGCUAAGUGUUAGGGGGUUUCCGCCCCUUAGUGCUGCAGCU